rnacentral:rRNA from 1 species
ACAGCAGUAGCCGCGGUAAUACAGAGGGUGCGAGCGUUAAUCGGAUUUACUGGGCGUAAAGCGUGCGUAGGCGGCUUCUUAAGUCGGAUGUGAAAUCCCUGAGCUUAACUUAGGAAUUGCAUUCGAUACUGGGAAGCUAGAGUAUGGGAGAGGAUGGUAGAAUUCCAGGUGUAGCGGUGAAAUGCGUAGAGAUCUGGAGGAAUACCGAUGGCGAAGGCAGCCAUCUGGCCUAAUACUGACGCUGAGGUACGAAAGCAUGGGGAGCAAACAGGAUUAGAUACCCCAGUAGUCCCUGUCUCUUAUAA